rnacentral:lncRNA from 1 species
AUGUUGAAAACAAUAAGGAAACAAGUUUCAACUGCAUUCACUGAAUGGCCUGAGAAACAUUUUGGACUUCUUACUAUCAAUAAAAAGGGAGGCAGCAAUCAUCUGCCACUGGUUGUGACAUUCAUGCGACUUAUCAAGCAGCGCAAAGCAGCAGAUGAUGGGAUGUCUGGAGAGUACCCAAGCCCAGCUGCUGAGCACUUAGUACUACAGGUAUUUCACUCCAUCACGUGGGUAGGCCAGGGCCAAAACUCAGUACCUUGCAGAAGUGCACCUUGAGAGAAAAGAGGGGAUACACUGACAUCACUGGGAAUAUGUUGGAAGGUUUGCUUAAUGCUUCCCUGUUCUCCCAGCUAUGGCAGUCAGAAUGUAAUAAGGAUAAUCCUCACUUCUGCCCUGAACAGCAGGAGACCAGGUCCCUAGGAGAGAUCUACUUUGGUCCUGGUCACAUUUUGUAUUUUAGGGACAAUGAAGGAUUGCAAAUUGUGGCUGAAUGCUCAGCAUUUACUUAAACAAUUGAGUUUUUAAACUACAUAGUAUUCACCUGCUUUCUUUUUUGGAAAUUAAGGUAUUUUACUACUUUAAAUCUUAAGAUCUGUAAUUUUAAAGUUCUGAAACUAAACAUGUAUUGUAGAAGUUCAAGGCUAACAACUAAGGAAAUAAUUAUAGAGGAAAUUUAAACCAUGUCCUCACACUGAAAAAAAAUUUAAAUUGAAUCUACUUUAUACAAAUCUAUUAUUCGUGUACACACAAAUAUACUAAAUCAAUUCCCUAGAUGCCAACAUUAAAAAAAAAAAAAAGGAAGAGCUUCAAGUGCUCUGGCUUCAGUACUUUAUUUAUCUUUUAAAUAACAACCAAAUAAAAAUAUAUAAAGGUCCUCAAGAAAUUUUUCUAAUUGCUUUUCCUAGCAAGGCCAUGCUUGCCAAAGUUCCACCUUUUACAUUAAUGCUAUAACACUAAUUGAUGUAGACAGGGACAACAUUCCAUUACAAGUAUUUGAACUAACAAGGUCUAAUUAUUCAAGCAUGAAGAGCUAAGUAAGGAUUUGCUAUAUAUUUAGGUAAUGCCUGCAUUUCAUUUAACCCCAAAUUAGAAAAGACAAAAUCAAAGUUGUAGGACAAAAAAUUGAUCCAAGUUAAAAUAUUUUCUUAAAUGUAGGGGGUUUUUUCCCUAUUGAGCUGUAUUUCAUGAUGGCAUACUGCCUGAAGCCAACCUGUUGACUGAAAGAUAUUAUCUUCUCCCCCCCCCCCCCCCAAAAAAAAAAAAAAAAAAAGGGGGGGGGGGGGGGGGCACUGAAAACAAAAGAACAAAACUGAUUUUGACAGCAUUAUGUACUCAGUCAAGUUUCAUUAAGCUUGCAGUGAAUCAAAUGCCCAUUAUACAAUUAAUAGCAUUCACACAUCAACUCUUUCUAUCCAAAGAGACUCCACAGGUGGAUCAAAGACCAGAUUCACUGCCUGAACAUUAAGGCCACUACCAAAAUUUGUGCAGCAGCAGCUUUGCAACAGAACAACACUACACAACCACCUCUGUCUUCACUCCCACUCACACGGUUCAGACAAGGACUUGGACAGUGCUAAAGCCUGAUUAAACAAUCCAGAAAUCUGUUCCAAAUCCUCAUGUACCCAGGGAAAAAAGAGAGAAGAGCUCAACUCACCCUUCCUGGACCAAAGAUUGCUUUUCUGCUCCUCGUCUCUCUCACGAAGAGCAUUUGUGUGUUCAAUAUAUUUGCUGCGUGAUGAACUGACUGCUCUGUAGGCCUGAAAGGGAAUUAUACCUGAAUUUACAGCUGCAUCCCCAUAAAUUUACCAAACACAAAGAGGGGAGAGGGAGAAAAGGGACUUUAAGCAAGUGCUACUGCCCAUCUUAAAAUGCAUAUAGAAUUCAUCCUAAGCAAGGAUUAAAAAUUAACAAUCUGCUAUACUAAUAUUUUUAAGUAUUUCAUAUUUCUCCAUUGUUAGAAAGCAAAUACAAUGCACCAUGCAGCUUUUGAAGUGCUGCAGUGUUUCAGGAAUUUAAAACAGUGUUUUAAAAGAUAAUUACAUUAAGAUUUCUAUUUUUGUAAUGUGGUAAAAAAUCUGACAGCAAGAGAAAAUGUUAUUCAUCCAGAAAUGCAAUCAUACAUGUUUGAUAUUUUGAACAAGUAGCUACUUACCAUUCAAGAGGAUUACUUUGUGGGACAGGGAAAUAUGUACCUCUCUGGGGUGUGCUAGCACUAUCUCAGAUCUUGGGGGAGAGGGGUAGAAGUAAGCUAUAAAAUGGAGGAUUUAGGGAUGUGAAGCACAGAAUCAGAUAUAUUUAAAAGCAGGGAAGAGAAUGGUUACCAAAAAGCUUAACAAAAGCAGAUGCUUACAAAACUUUAACAUGCUUUCUUGAAGUAACUAAUGCUCUUCUUUUGUGCCCAAAUUAACAAUCUUAUUUCACAUCUUAUUUCACAUCUGCCUUGCCCACUUUGAGAUAUUGCUAAUGUUUAUAUUUGUCAAAGACAAGGCAAAGGGUUAAAGACAGGUGCCUUACUCCACCUUUGGACACACUCAAUUCACAUAGUUUUAAAUAUGCUUUCCACUAAGAAUGACCCAGCACUACUUACCAAAGUAACAGUGAAACAGGCAAGCAAUAAUCUUUCAGCUUCACCAAAUUCUCUUAAGCUGAUUCCAAAGUUAGGCUGCACUUAGCUAUAUGCUACAGUAUCUACCUUCAUUGACGGUUCGCAUCUUGACCACACUCUUAAACCCAGAACACAUUGUACACCAUUCCAGCUCAGAAAGCACAAACAGCUCCAUCCCCAAACACUUACAUAAAAUAAACCACCAAAAGCAGCAACACCAGCAAGGAGAUAGAUCAUCAUGCUGUCUCUAGAAGAGCCAGGAACAUUCCCAGUUGACAUCUGGCGAGGAGGUGCUAUAAAAACCAUUAGGUAAAUUGAUGCAAAGUGCUGCUAAAAUAUGAUCACAAAAAAAGAAUGAUGGAAUCUGAAUCUGUAUGGGAAAGGAUGAUUCAAAAAGGUUAUAAAACAGAGAGGUACAGCUUAUUGAUGAAUCCUAUGACUGAGUAACACAGGGUGUGGUUCUCAAAUGAACUGUCCAUGGCUGAGCUCUUCCUAAGAGAUGUUUUUCUGCGAACUACAUUGUCCACCAUCAGCUUCCAAGUACUGGGCACAGUCUAUAAAGACCAAGGAAUGUCAAAUAAAAAAUAAAAAAAAAAAAGGAGUGUAAAAAAGUUCCUGACUAAGGCAGGUAAAAUAAUUAAUCUGUCCUUAUUCCUUAUGAUCAGCAGAAGUAAUGAAUUAUCUUUUCAGGUUAAUAAGAGGGAUUUUUUUUUUAAAAAGCUUUUUCAUUUGAAUUCAUGUUCUUUCACUCUCAGACUGUUGACACACUGAUACAUACCUUUCACCUUGUGAAUUGGCCAACAGGGCAGAGAGGUAGGAUUACAUAGUUUUUUACCUGAUAGGGUACAUACGACCUCUAACAGCAGUGCUACCCAUUUAUUUGUUAUAAACUGAUUCUUACUAGUCUUGGAUUCCAUCUGUAUAUCUCAAAAAGAGACCUAUGAAAAACACGUAAUUCUCUUGGUCAACAAAGCUUUCUUGCAGAAUUUUGUGAUCCCAGGUUGGGAAUGUCUCAUUGAAAAAGAGGUAAUGAAAAAUAAAAUGGCUGUGAGCACUGCAACUGGCAGCUGCAAAAAUAAUCGCAACAUCAAAACAUUGCCACUGCGCUCCAGAUUAUGUUUAGCAUCAUCUGUCUCAUGACACGCUUCUCAAACUGCUCUCCAAUAGCCGGGCACCCGAAUGGAUUUCCGUACAUCUAUAUUUUCGUUCAUCAGCAGCGUGUCCUUAACCCUCUCCCCCGGGGGCUGCUAGCUACAGCAGGACAGCGGUAAGUCAGCGAGCUGCCAUCGCCCAACACGGCCGGCAGAUUUUUUUUUUUUUUGCCACUGGUUACACAACCCCUGAUGCGCCAAAAGCCAUGGAUGCGGUACACUGGGGUGCCCGGGGGGGGGGGGGGGGGGGGGGGGGGGGGGGGGGGGGGGGGGGGGGGGGGGGGGGGGGGGGGGGGGGG